UCCUUUCUUCUCUUCUUCUUUCAUCUCCUCUCUCCUCCCAUCUCUUCUCUCUCCUCCCACUCAUAUUAAAUUUUCAUAGAAAAAAAGAUAAUUUAAAUUUUUACAGAGAGAUACACCUUAGAAAAAUAAUUUUUACACUUUGAAAAAAUACACCUUGGAAAGGUACGCCUCGAAAAGGUGCACAUAAAAAAGAUAACAAAUAUUUUAUUGACAGCUUCUCCUUUCUUCUCUUCUUCUUUCAUCUCUUCUCUCUCCUCCCAUCUCUUCUCUCUCCUCCCACUCAUACCAAAUUUUUAUAGGAAGAUAUACUUUGGAAAGAUAAUUUAAAUUUUUACAGCAAGAUACACCUUGAAAAAUAAUUUUUACACUUUGAAAAAAUACACCUUGGAAAGGUACGCCUUGGAAAGGUGCACAUAAAAAAUAUAACAAAUAUUUUCUGGGAAAGAUAAUAAAUCUUCCCGAAUCUUUCCUUUCUCUCUAUCUCUCUCUUCUCCUCAGCCAAGAUCUUUUAAGAUCUGAAAAUAUUUUGAUUUUUAAGGCUUGAGUUUUAUAAAUAGUGAGAGAACAGCUCAAAUCGGGAGGGGGAUAUAGGCAUCGCACAUGAGGAGGUCACAUGGAGAAUAAUUUUCUAUUGCAAAACAAAAUAAAAACAAAAAAAAAGAGAGAAAAAAGAGUAAGAGAGGGUGGAAGGAGAGUUAAAAAUAAAUAAAUAAAUAAAUAAUGUAUAUAUAUAUAUAUAAAUAGAAAGAAAAGAGAACUGUGCUCUCCUUUUUUGUUCGCCGCCGCCGAACACGUCGAUGCCGCCCAAAGCCGUUGCCUCCCAUCAACUAUCGACGUCGCCGAUCAACUCGAGGUGCCGCCGCCGUAUUCGCGGACGCCGUCCGAAGUUGCUGCCGCCCAUACCCGCGAUUAAGAGUUGGUUUUACCCUCGGAGGGUCAUCUAAAUCUAAAUAAAGCAACAAGAACGUGGUUUCCAUGAACGAAAGAGUAAUGUUUUGGGUGUUUUGGGUUUUGGGUGAGGAUGAAUUUUUGAGAUGGGUUUUGAGAGUUUGUGGAGAUGGGAGUGAGUUAGGAGGCAAAGGGGAUCAAGGGGGUUGAGCUUAAGAUCGGACUUUGGUAAAAAAGUCUCACAAGAAAGGAAAAAAAAAAAAUAGUAGCUUAGUAAGAAAAUAAUUUAACAUAAAAUAAUUAAGAAAUAAUCUUAGCAUAUUCUUUUUUCUUUCUUUUUUUUUAACCACCAGAAGGGCACCACCAUCUGAACAGUUCCGG
rnacentral:lncRNA from 1 species